rnacentral:rRNA from 1 species
AGUCGAGUGCGCAGUUUCCUGUAGCAAUACAGGAGAUCGGCGCACGGCGCACGGGUGCGUAACACGUGGGUAACCUGCCCUCCAAAGGGGGAUAACCCGCCGAAAGGCGGGCUAAUACCGCAUGAUAUUCCGGUGGCCUCGGCCGCCGGAAUCAAAGCUCGAAAGGGCGUUGGAGGAGGGGCCCGCGGCCGAUUAGCUUGUUGGCGAGGUAACGGCUCACCAAGGCUUUGAUCGGUAGCCGGUCUGAGAGGAUGGCCGGCCACACUGGAACUGAGACACGGUCCAGACUCCUACGGGAGGCAGCAGUGGGGAAUCUUGCGCAAUGGGCGAAAGCCUGACGCAGCGACGCCGCGUGGGGGAUGAAGCUUCUCGGAGUGUAAACCCCUUUCGACCCGGACGAAACGCCCGCAAGGGCUUGACGGUACGGGUAUAAGAAGCCCCGGCUAACUACGUGCCAGCAGCCGCGGUAAGACGUAGGGGGCCAGCGUUGCUCGGAAUUACUGGGCGUAAAGGGUUCGUAGGCGGUGCGGUAAGUCGGAAGUGAAAUCUCUGGGCUUAACUCAGAGGCUGCUUUCGAAACUGCCGUGCUCGAGUGCGGGAGAGGCGAGUGGAAUUGCAGGUGUAGCGGUGAAAUGCGUAGAUAUCUGCAGGAACACCCGUGGCGAAGGCGGCUCGCUGGACCGCAACUGACGCUGAGGAACGAAAGCUAGGGGAGCAAACAGGAUUAGAUACCCUGGUAGUCCUAGCCCUAAACCAUCA